CCGAGAGAGACCCCUAGCGGAGCCGCCGCGGAGCUGCGCCCGCUGGCACCGGGAGGGGUCCGCGCCUCCGGCGCCCACAGGUGCGGCGCCUCUGGCUCCCCACGCGCCUCCCUGGCCCACCCCCCACCGCCCACCAGGGCUCGGGGAACCGCAGGAGGGAGAGUCUGGGGCCAGGGGAGGGACCGUGCAGGAUCAGGGAAAGCCACAAGAAAUGUUAAAAUUAAUUCCUGUAAUCCCAGGAGCUCAGGAGGCUGAGGCAGGAGGAUUGCAUGUUUGAAGCAAACUCAGCAACUCAGCAAGGCUGUAAGCAACCUGGGAAUUUAAUAGCAACCAUAAAGAAAGGAGAAAGGGGAAAAGAAGUAUGUUCUAAGGAGAGACCAGGCAAAAACACCAAGAGUGUUUUAACGGGAGAGGUCAAAGGAUGGAAGGAACAUCUCACAGGUGGCAUUGCGCUCAUGUGGACAGCAGGACAGAGGAGAUGACAUUACCAUCAUGUGGUCAGCAGGACAGAGGAGAUGACAUUACCAUCAUGUGGUCAGCAGGACAGAGGAGAUGACCAGGACAGAGGAGAAGCCCAAAACUGGAGGAUGAGCCUCAAGGGAAGUGCCAAGUGCUGAGUCAGACACUGGACAAGGAGUUCUCUUGUGAUUUUUUUCAAAAGAAAAAACACUAGAUUUUUGAGAUUGAGGUUCAUUGAUUGACUGAUUCAGCCAAUGUUGAGACAGCGCCUCUUAUGUGCUGAGUGUGUGCCCACCGCUGUGGUUACAGACAGGCAAAGGCAGAGAUUAGCCCCCAAGCUGUGUGCUGGGUUGUAUUGUUUCUGGCUUUAUUUUCUGUGAUUUUUGCACAUCAUUUCUGGGUUUUAUAGGCUCAAUCUUCAUUUAUAUGGUCUCCUAGGGAUUUCAAACGUUUAGAGAUGACUAAGUCUUUCCUGAUCGCCUUAACGUCUUCAGUUAAUUUAUAUUCCAGAAUUGUCACUAGGAAACAAAAAUGGGUGUUUCCUUUUCCCCAGAUAAAAUACACAACGGCACAGUUUUGGUAAUUUAAUGUGGAUAUUCUAAAUUAAAUAUUCUCUAUAUUCAUUGUUUUCUCUGAAAACUGAAAAUGCUACUUAGACCUUUGUGAGUCCUUGGCUGAGUGUUAGUAUCUAAGUUGUAAAAUUCAAGAUUCUCAAGCCCAAGAACUCCCACGUGUGAGAAAUUAGGAUUCCUUGUGUCUUGUGAGAGAGUUCAGCAUCUUGAUUUAUUUCUCCUUGUCAAUCCCCAACCUACCAGUAUUUCAGUAACCAUGGUGACCAGUAAUCGUGAAUACCUGUUCAUUAUACCUGACUUCUCUCAUCUUGGAGGAUUUUAUUUUAAUAAAUUGAAUGUGUUAUUAGUAUAUAUAGUUUGCUAAGUACAACAGUUAGGGUUCCUGUUCUCUAUUUAGAGAACAGGAAUUUGUUCUAUUGUAUUAAUAUGGCUUGUCACAUUUUGAUGAAUGUUUUGACUAUAAUCUGAGAUGAAUUGAUAGAAAUACAAUUCCCAAGUACUUUACAGAAAAUUAUUUAUAAUGUUUCUUUCAUCUUUUAAUGAAAGAAUGUUGUUUUCUUGUGACUGUAAGGAUUUUUUAUCUUUCUGUUUAAAUAGAAAUAUGUAAUGAAAAUUAGACAUUGGGAACCAAGUACUUCAAAUUUCUGUGUUUUUCCUUUUAUAAAGGCCACACUUUCUGAGAAGCUCUUUCACACUACUCUACCUUAAUUUAGCAUGCCAACAGAUUUUUUAUAUAGAUCCUCUUUAUCACUGAAAUUUUAAACUAUGUUUAUUGCUUGUGUAAACUUUUUUUGGUGGGGAGGCAGUACUGGAAAUUGAACUAGGGGUGCCUAACCACUGAGCCAUUUUUAUAUUUUAUUUAGAGACAGGGUCUCACUGAGUUGCUUAGCACCUUUCUAAGUUGCUGAGGCUGGCUUUGAAUUCACGAUCCUCCUACUUGAGCCUCUGGGAGUACAGGCAUGUGCCACCACACCUGGCCUGCCUGUGUCUACUUAAUGCCGGUAGAGAUUCUUGGUAUUUGAGUUGUUGGAUUUUUCAAAGACCAUUUGUAUCAAGUGGACUUAUAAUACAGAGCUACAAGAAAAGUACUAUUUUUUUCCAGUGUUACCUAAGAAUGGUUCAUUUUCUACACUCUAUUUCUGACAAAGUUAACUUAUAAGGAAUGAAUGAAAUUACUUAGCAGACUUCUCUUCAUUUUAGUGCAUUCUUAAAAGCUUAUAUUCUGCAAAUAAUUCACAUAACUAAACAAUGAGCAUAAAUUAUAUACAUUGAGAAAUAUUAAAAAUUCAGUUAAUUAUUACCCAAUUCAUAGAUCACUUCUUCUAAGUCAAUACUUUUAUCUUAAGUUGUUUAUUUCUAGAAAAAGCCUUAAUAGGUACAAUAAUAAUAGUUUAAAUUAGCAAAUGUAUGUUCUGAAGAAAUUCUACAUUUUAUAGAUUCCAUUUAUGGCUUCUAUAAUACAUAUUUAGAAGUUUCCUAUAAAUAGCUUGGUAUCCUAUAAAAGCUGAAUUUUUAACAUGAUUUAUCUUAUUGGUGUUGAUCCUCAGGUGUGCAUGUCAUAAGACAUACAGAUGAUUGGAGUUUAGCAGACUUUUAUCACUCUCACUGAAGAAUUUUCUAAGCAGGUACAAAAAUUAGAGUCAUGAAUUAAAACAACACAGAGAUAAUAUGUGCACAGAGUAGAUAAUUUCUGCGCUAUUUUGUGGAAAGUUUCCUCAUAUCUAAUAUGAGAUAUUGAUAGUUUUAUGAGGUCUUUUGAUAAGCAAACAAAACUGUUAGAGGUCAUAUAUAAAUUAUGGGUUUGUUAACUAGAUGCCCCUCAAUAGAUGAAUGGAUAAAAAAAAUGUGGCAUUUUACACAAUGGAGUAUUACUCAGCACUAAAAAAUGACAAAAUCAUGGUAUUUGCAGGGAAAUGGAUGGCAUUAGAGCAGAUUAUGCUAAGUGAAGCUAGCCAAUCCCUGAAAAACAAAUUCCGAAUGUCUUCUUUGAUAUAAGGAGAGCAACUAAGAACAGAGCAGGGAGGAAGAGCAUGAGAAAAAGAUUAACAUUAAAUAGGAAAGAGAGGUGGGAGGGAAAGGGAGAGAGAAGGGAAAUUGCAUGGAAAUGGAAGGAGACCCUCAUUGUUAUACAAAAUUACAUAUAAGAGGAUGUGAGGGGAAAGGGAA